GCCGAGUCCUCGAGGGUGCGAAGUGGGAGGGACGGAUUCGGGCAGUGCUGGGCGCACAAGCGUUGUAGGAACUAGCGGGGUUUGGUAGAAGUGGUCAGUGACUCCCCUUUGUGUACUGGCACAACCAAGAGACUUGCCAACCUGCCAAAAGCAAAAUAACAGACCCCGUUCUGCUUCUCUUUCACCAGCUUCUGCCUUGGCUCCCAGUAGUCACGACCUGGGGAGUGAAAACACUUUCUUGAAUGUGUGGAGCUGGGAACCAGUCACACAGCCUCUCCCAGAUGUAAGGAAGGCUGGGAUUUGUUGUCCCUGACUGGGCAGCUACAUCCCACACCAGCUCUGUGCCAUGCAAGAGAAGCACAGGUCUCCAGUGGACAGCUGGCCAAGUCUGCCUCAGACUGUUUCUCAGACAAGAUUGGCUGGACAGUUCUUCUGGUCUGGUUUGUCCCUCUCAUACAUCUGAGAUCAACUGCAGACCAGGUAUGCAGCUCUGCUGAUCUUAGCAGGGCUUUCUCACCUGUUUGGGAGUUGACUGGUUUAGAAUGGUUUUGACUGGAA